rnacentral:rRNA from 1 species
AAACUUACAAAAAUAGGUCUCAGUUCGGACUGUAGGCUGCAACUCGCCUACACGAAGUUGGAAUUGCUAGUAAUCGUGGAUCAGCAUGCCACGGUGAAUACGUUCCCGGGUCUUGUACACACCGCCCGUCGCGCCAUGGGAGCUGGUAACACCCGAAGUCAGUAGUCUAACCGCAAGGAGGACGCUGCCGAAGGUGGGAUUAGCGACUGGGGUGAAGUCGUAACAAGGUAAC